GUACCUCAGUGGAAGACACUGGAAGCACAAUCUCUGAGCCAAUGCCAGGACUGCCUUUGCCACAAUAUUCCAGGUUGCUGAUGUCUGCUUUCAAGGAGUGAAUUAUGCCAUUAGGCUCAACGAGGCUGCCAGAGCAAACCGACUGCGUGGUGCAGGCCAGGCAUGGGAGUAAUAAAGUGCACGCUUCUAGUGGAAAGGAGACGCUCGAGUGGGAGCUGUUUCACGGCGAAUUGAUGUUUACUCAGUUCUUCAUACACACAAACUUUCAAGACUAGCUCCAGUCUUCCCGUCCCCUUUCUGCAGUUGUUCUUACAGAGCCUGAUGUUACGCGGUUUUGGAUGCAACUUUCGAAGACCUUGGCGUUAUGACAGUGCCUCGGUUAUGCUGCGGACAAUGAAAAGGAAAAACAGGGAAGAUAAAAGCACAGCUAAAAUACAGCCCUGAUGAGCUGCCACCAUUGCAAUCACCAUGAAGCUGCAGUUCAGGGCUGUUAGAGAGACCAAGAAGACUGAAAAUGCCCCACCAUCACGGCUUUCUCUUACGUAGAUGCUGUUCUUUUCCUUGUUGGGUUUAUCGCAUGGGGGCAAACCAUACAUGCCUGGAGAAACAAUGAUCAUGUUUCACUUCCAGGUGAUCUUAGGAAGGACACGGAACUUCUCUUAGUAUCAAUUUCAUCUGCAGAGUGAUGACCCCGGGAUGUGUCUGGCCCGGUUCUUUGGAAACAUAAAUGUGAAGGUGUUUGUAAAUGUCUGGCACAUCUUCCUGUCUACCCUCAUCCCAUGUGGAAGUCAUUCCUGUGAGAACCAGAAUCUGGGCUGGGAGAAGGACUUUUAAGAGAGAAGGAGCAAAGUCUCAAGGACACAGCAUCAAGGGUUCAUCUACACAAGAACUGCAGAGAGCAUAUGUGCUGACGU